UACGAGGGGGGCGAGCGUUGUUCGGAAUUAUUGGGCGUAAAGGGUGCGUAGGCGGUUCCGCAAGUCCUGUGUGAAAUCUUCGGGCUCAACUCGAAGUCUGCACGGGAAACUGCGGGGCUUGAGUGUGGGAGAGGUGAGUGGAAUUCCCGGUGUAGCGGUGAAAUGCGUAGAGAUCGGGAGGAACAUCAGUGGCGAAGGCGGCCAUCUGGAUCAACACUGACGCUGAGGCACGAAAGCGUGGGGAGCAAACAGG
rnacentral:rRNA from 1 species